rnacentral:rRNA from 1 species
UACAGAGGGGGCAAGCGUUAUUCGGAAUUAUUGGGCGUAAAGGGCGCGUAGGCGGCAUGGCAAGUGGAUGGUGAAAUCCCUCGGCUUAACCGAGGAACUGCCGUCCAAACUGCUUCGCUUGAGACCGGGAGAGGUGAGUGGAAUUCCCAGUGUAGCGGUGAAAUGCGCAGAUAUCAGGAAGAACACCCGUGGCUAAGGCGGCUCUCUAGUACGGUACUGACGCUGAGACGCGAAAGCGUGGGGAGCGAACAGG